GAGGAGGACCAGACUCCUGAUCAGAUCCACAAGAAGAGUUCUGAAGGUAAAUCUAGUGGUCAUUUGAGAAUGUGUGGCCUUCUCUCAUGAUCCUCUUCAGUAUGAAGUAGAGUACAUUACAUUAAGUUCUAUAAAUAUAAAUAUAUUUUUUAAAAGCACUCUAAAAGUUUCAAUCACUGUUUGCUGUAUUUUGAAGUGUCCACCAUAUCAGUAUUGUGCAGGUUCAUUUUCACGAUGUAUUGAAUUAUUGAAUAUAGGCAUAUGUCUAUUCCACCUCAAACAUUACACACGUGUCUGUCAGUGCUUGACAUUUCACAUCAGCUGCAAUUAUUCAUCUUUUAUCAGGUGACAUUCUGGACCAGUAUGAGCUCGGCAAGGAGAUUGGAGAGGGAGGAUUUGGCAGCGUCUAUGAAGGGAAGCGCUUGGAGGAUGGCCUUGAGGUGGCAGUAAAAAUUGCCAGAAAGCCAUCGAACAUGAAAUACAUCAACAUCGCUGGUCAUCCUGAGCCCCUUCCUUUAGAGAUCGGCCUGUUGAUACUGGCUCAUAGAGGCGGCAAGGUUCCAGAGAUCAUUGAGCUGCUGGACUGGCAGGACCAGCAGGAUCGUUACAUCAUGAUCCUGGAACGACCUUCACCAUGUGUAGAUCUGUUCGACUUCAUAAUGUCUCUCGGCUCUAUCACUGAACGCCAGGCUCAAAAGAUCAUGGAGCAGGCAACAACGGCCGGUCUCAUGUGCUGCAGACGUGGGGUAUUUCACCGAGACAUAAAGCUGGAGAACCUGCUGGUCAACACAGACACGCUUGAGGUCAAGCUAAUUGACUUUGGCUGUGGGGCUCUUCUCCAGGAAUCUGGCUAUGACAGUUUCUGUGGUAUGUAUUAAACUUAACACCUGUAGUCUGGACUGUCAAUUUGACCAAUCAUGUAUUUUCAUGUUACAGAGAAAACAUGCUUUAGUGUUUCAUGCUGAGACCAAAUCUUGUUCCUUCAGGCACAAAGGAGUACUUCCCACCGGAGUACUACCUGGACGACGAAUACCAUGCAGAACCAUCCACUGUAUGGUCUUUAGGAGUUCUGUUAUUCCUGCUGCUGU